rnacentral:lncRNA from 1 species
UUGUGACAUAAUCGUGAAAUACGAUGAGAACAGAUGACUGUAGAGGCAUCCUUACACAAAUUCUUUCUAAUAAUCUAAAAAAUAUUUGAGGAAGACUUGGUUGGUUUCGAACACUUCCAAGUGGUGAAAGCAAAGACUCACAGAAGACAGAGGCUUAUGCCUCGUGCCACAUGACUAUCAAAGUUGUUUCUUCAGCAUCUGCUCCUCUUCAUCAAACAGAAAUGCAAACCAUCAUUAACAUCUACCCAAGAAUCCAUAGACCAAGAAAAUGCCAAAGACACCCAGAUACCUGGCUUAUCUGCCAACCCUCACCACGAAAAUGAACAAUGGAGCGUAGAGCUUAUGCUGUGGGAGCCUCUCAAACCUUCAUAUGCAUGGUAACAGCUCAGGAAUGGCUUUAGAAGGUGGGCCUGGGAGUCUGCAUUUCUAAUGAGCACCCAGGGGGAGGGCUCCCAGCAGCCAGGCUCUGGGUUACCUGUGCUUCCCGAGGGGGAGGGGGCUCCCCCUCUGCAGGCCUGGGGCACUGUGCUGGGGCAGUGACGUUACCACAUAAUUCCUUGGUUUAUUAUAUCCAUGUGCUAGUUUUGUCCCCACCGCAAUAACUGGGGCCACACAGGUGCAGAAGCAGUGCUGGAUGAAUGGAAGUCAAAGGAGAUACUCUGUCCUCAACCAGGAGAGGCACGUCCUGCUGUGUAGAAAGAUUUGUGUCACACGAAGAGCAGAGCUCAGUGGAUGAAAAAAUUAUCUCUGUGGGUGAGCUCUGGAAAUCGGAAAGCCGCAGUGAAGUAAAUCUUCCGUGCGGCCCCAGGGGUGACAUUUGUCACAGGUUUGGAAAAGGUCUGACUUCUAGAGAUGUCCCAUGCCUUAGCUUCCGAGAACCGCUGGCUGACACCAGCCACCGAUACCCUUGUGAUAACAUUGGAACAUGGAAAGAAAAGGUAAAGAAAAUAAAGCACAUUUUCUUCCUUUUUUGGGAGGAGGGAAAAUUCAUCUGAAUAUUUACUUACAACCCCAUAGUGUUUUUCCAAAAUGCAGGCAUUACAAUGUAAAAGAGAACAUGUACAAUUAGGCUACAGAGCCAUCAUUUUAUACCUGCAACCUGGAAAACACCCAGUGAUCCAGUCUCUAAGCUCACUGCACUAUGAAGGGCUGGGGGCCUGUUGUUGGCCCAGUUCUAAAUGCCUGCCCUUGGCCUUGGGUGGACGCCAAAAAUGACACCAGCUCACUCUCUGUAAAAUGCAUCUCUGAAGGACAAGCCCAGGAUACCCCAUCACUUGGGAGGUAGCGUUUUGAAAAGAAAAACAACCAGGAUGGGCAGAUAUUUGUACUAACUCCAGGUACUUUAACAUAGACUUAAAAUCACACGUUUGAUUCACAGAAUAAAAAAUUCAGGAGGAAAGGCGUCUUUAUCAUCAGCAGUGCAGUGAAUCAAGUAAGUGUUCUGGGGUCUGUUUGUAGGUCUGAUAUAUCCCGCCUUAACUCAUCAGUUUAUUGAUAAAGUUUAAGUUUAAGUAAAUAUUACCCCCCCCCCCACGAAAUGCAGAUGAUAAGAUGGGAUGGUGUCAGAGCAGGGAGGUGUGGGGUGUGCCCUGGACCACAAAGAGGCUCAAGCUCUUUGGUCCAGUCCCUUACUCAUCAAAGACAUCACUUCCCUGAACCCGGCUGGUGAGUUGAAUGUGGACAGUGUCCCUUGUCCUGACUCCUGGCUGGGCUGGCUGUAGGGAUCCAGCUGGACCCCAGGCACAAUUUCCACAUGUCCCUCAAUAGGCACAAUUUCCACAUGUCCCUCAAUAGGCACCUAUGGAUGGCUUGCGCACUGGCCAGCUCAGCGCUGACCGCAGGUACGUCAAUACUGAUGGAACCCAGGUAGUGGGGUGUUCUUGGGAGACAAAGAACUCUCCUUACAUUUUUAUUCUUGUUGAAAAAGCCUCCCUAAGGUAUUUUAAGAGACGUUCUUACUCCGCUAAGUACAGGUUAAUAAACUAACCCCCAGGAAGGAUGAUUCAUGACCCAGAGUCACAGGGUCCAUAGCAGCCCCCGAACCCUGUACCUGAAGGCAGUUGAGGAUGGGGGAGGGGACGAGAGUGGCACCUCAGCACCCCCUCCUCACUGAGACUCACUGAGUCUUCCCUUCUAGGUUAAAUCCUUAUCACUUCUUUUGGUUAUCGGUUCGUGUCCCCUCAAAGUGGCUUUAGGAAAAGAGGUUUCCUUUAAGGUGUCAGUUCCUUGGCUUCUGAUUUAUAGGUUUGGCUACAUUUGGAAAGACACUGCCAUGGUGAAUAUGGCAGAUAUGUUACUACAUGUCCCAAAUUGGCACUGAGCCCUGGAUUUGGAGAUCACAGCAAUAAAGAAAAAGAAAGGGGUUUCUUCCUUCUUUUCUCCAACCUUGUGAUGAAAACAACUUAUUUCCUUUAACCCGGGUGAAAGAUUUAUCAACACUUCAUUUCAGAAAUCAGUUUUGGCCCCUUUCAUUUCCUUUAGUUGUCCUUGCCAGAAAUCUCUGUGCAAUGAGCAGUUCCCCCAAAAAUCAUGACCACUAAAGGAAACUUUAGUUUCAAGAAAAAAAAAAAACAACCUGGAAAGAAAACUACUAAAUAUUAAGUAUUUAACUGAUAUAAAGACUGCAGUGCAUGAAAUGAGUAGAAGAAAAAAAAAGCUAUCUAAAUAAGGCGCAGAUUUUUUUCAUAUGUCGAUUACAUGUUAUUAAAUCUAUAGCUUAUUGAUUAUAGAACUCAUAAAAUAGGUAACAUUUUAAAACUUAUAAGAAGACACCACAUGAUAAGGUUUUGGAUGAAGGAGCAAAUGAUAUAAACUAAAAUGCAAAGAAACAACUAAAUUACAAUUUUAUUACAAAACCGAAGCCAACUGGUGGACCAAUAAGACCAUCAAAGGACAGUGGGCUUCGACUCUAAUGUAAUUAAGAGCCUUGAAUUCACGGCGCCUCUGUGCAGUCACAUAGGAAAGCCAUCUCAGAGGCUAGAAUAUAUUUUCCUAAUUAGAGAAAAGGGGUUGGGCUGGUGUAAAGCACUUUGCCAAUGCAGGAGACAAUUACCAAUAUUAGCAGAUCAGUUGCUGGAGGAUCAGACCAAGGAUACUAGUAACAAAAGAAAGGAGCAGAGAAAAUACAAUGGUCAUGAUUUAGAUGGAUGCAUGAGAGCCUUCUCAGCACCACCUGUAACCUGAAUUGUGUUGGCGCAAAGGCUGGAAAUGCUAAUAAGGCAUAUGAUUAGAGGUGGGUCUGGGGUUAUAAAUUGCUUUUUUAAUGGUGGUGUUAGCAGCUGACAUAGAGUAUAUGAAGAAGAUGAGAAUGUCAGUAUCCAUUUUUAUUAGUGUCAGAAACAAUAUGCAGUAUAUUUAGAUUAGCUUCAUUUGUAUCAGUAUUUUUAUAAGUAGUAGCUGUAGAAGCAGAAACAUCCAAUGUAUUUUACAAAGAAGAACUAAAUACAGUUGCCAGUGUUCUCCACAAAAGAGCCAGAACUUUUACCUUGGGGAAAACAGGCCACAUUUCCUGAGUUAAUUCAGAAUUCAAGAGCACAACAAAUGCUGGAUUCUGGAUCAGAAGAAAAUUUUUAAAAAAUGCUAAAAAUAUAUCCUUCCAUAUGAAUCAGAGCUCUUUUCCAAGAUUGAGACGGGAUGACAGGGUCCAUAUCUGAUCAACUUAAACCACCCAAGACACCACUUGAGACCUAUGUAACCUAAGUGUGAUCAUAAAUGAACAAUAAUCAAUAAGUUUUAUAAACUUGUUCUUAGUAAAGAAAAAUAGGUGAGUUAAUUUUGGUUAUGAAUUUCCGCAGCAAUUAUCACCACUUUCUCAGUUGAUCUCAUGACAAACUAGGUAAAACUGAGUAUCAGACAAAACGUAAUUGCUAGAGAAUCAGGAGGAUAGGAAAUGUGAUUUUAUGUAUCUUAUUUUUAAACAUCAAAAAAAAUUUUGACCACGUCCACGGCAUGUAAAAGUUCUCAGGCCAGGGACUGAAUCCUUGCCCCAGCAGUGACAAUACCGUAUCCCUAACCUGCUGAGCCACCAGGGAACUCUCCAGAAAAUGUUAUUUUAAAAAAAAAAUUUUUUUUUGUAAUUUCAGAAAACUAGGCUUUGAAAAAUAGACCACAACAGUGAAACUAUAGAAUUUAAAAAAUCCAGUUGCUAAGGACAUCAAAAACAGACUAUUUCUUUUUGAUUUCUAUUUUAGAUAAUUAGUAUUAACUGCGUAUCAGAGAAAGCCCAGCCCUGGUGGUACGAAGCUGGCCUGAGUCAGGAGCCUGGAUUCCUUACUAGUUGUGUAAUCUUGGGCUAUUUCCAUCAACUCUUUAUUUACACUGUCUUCAUCUGAAAAUCCAUAGUUUCUACCUUGUAAGGUCCUUGGUAGGAGUGAUGGGACGGAAUGCUCCAGAACGCCCAGGAGUGUCUGGCUCUUAAUAAACAGUCGUCUCACUGUCAUUAUUGAUGCCAAUAAACCACUUACAGGAUAAUUUCUAUUUCUCCAGAAAGGUCACAUUAAAUAUUUUCUCCUCACGGUUGCUUCUCUCUGCCAAUGCCUUCCUUUUUACUCUGGGAAUUCUGUUUCUCCUUAGGCCAAAACACCCAAGUUAUUCAUUCUUUGAAAAUUCUCUCUUGUUUUUCAAGUUAUUCUUCAAGACACAUCCCUGAAAAACCCUCCCCCCUCCCCAGGAAGAGCCCGAUUCUCUAAAAAGACUCCAACCGAAAACACAGUCAAGCCUUCAGCUGGGCCGCUGGAGGACUGACCCCAGAGGGCAGACGUGCAGAUCCUGGCCUUGGUCAUUUUCACCUUCUCUCUAUCUCUCUGAAGGAGCACCCAGGCCCCCCAAAUAGGAGCUGUUACCAAGAGGAGGUUUAAGAAGCAAGAAUCUGAGAGGCCAGACACUGCGGCUGUCUAAUCCUGUCCUGAUGUGUGUGUGUGUGUGUGUGCGUAUGUAUUCUCUGUUCUCUCAUAAAAGUUAUUUGAAAGGUAAAAUUCUCCAUGACAAAACCAAGGCCAUGGGUUUCCUACAAACGCAUUUCCACAGAGAAAAGAACCUGCAUGAAAGCUGGUACCCCAUUCUGAUGGAUCCAUUUGCCACUACAUCCAGGAACCAAGACUUGCAGGCUGGAGGUGCUAAGAUAGCACUCCUGUAGGAAAUCAGGAGCACAGUUGCCUGGAAAAACCACUCUGUAAAUCCUAAGUGCACACAUUGUGAGCCAGCCACUGUUCCACACCCAGACACUCACACAUGCUCUCGUUUUCACACCUCUCCCUGAGGAACACACAGAGACCAUGGCUGUUUUCAGAGAGGUGGAGCAGACCGAGACUGUGGGACUAGAGAGGACACAAGGGGCACAUCUUGCUGACAA